rnacentral:rRNA from 1 species
UACGUAGGGUGCGAGCGUUGUCCGGAAUUAUUGGGCGUAAAGAGCUCGUAGGCGGUCUGUCGCGUCGGUCGUGCAAACUUGGGGCUUAACCCUGAGCUUGCGGUCGAUACGGGCAUGACUGGAGUUCGGUAGGGGAGACUGGAAUUCCUGGUGUAGCGGUGAAAUGCGCAGAUAUCAGGAGGAACACCGGUGGCGAAGGCGGGUCUCUGGGCCGAUACUGACGCUGAGGAGCGAAAGCGUGGGGAGCGAACAGG